rnacentral:tRNA from 1 species
GGUCGGUUAGCUCAGUUGGUUAGAGCGUGGUGCUAAUAUCCUACUGUUAACGCCAAGGUCGCGGGUUCGACCCCCGUACUGACCA